GACGAACGCUGGCGGCGUGCUUAACACAUGCAAGUCGAACGAUGAAGCUGGAGCUUGCUCCGGUGGAUUAGUGGCGAACGGGUGAGUAACACGUGAGCAAUCUGCCCUUGGCUCUGGGAUAACUGCGGGAAACUGUAGCUAAUACCGGAUACGAGGCUCGAAGGCAUCUUCGGGUCUGGAAAGAAUUUCGGUCAAGGAUGAGCUCGCGGCCUAUCAGCUUGUUGGUGAGGUAAUGGCUCACCAAGGCGACGACGGGUAGCCGGCCUGAGAGGGUGACCGGCCACACUGGGACUGAGACUCGGCCCAGACUCCUACGGGAGGCAGCAGUGGGGAAUAUUGCACAAUGGGCGAAAGCCUGAUGCAGCAACGCCGCGUGAGGGAUGAAGGCCUUCGGGUUGUAAACCUCUUUUAGCAGGGAAGAAGCGAAAGUGACGGUACCUGCAGAAAAAGCACCGGCUAACUACGUGCCAGCCGCCGCGGUAA
rnacentral:rRNA from 1 species